rnacentral:pre_miRNA from 1 species
CUUGUACUCCCUCCGUCCGAAAAUACUUGUCAAUGAAAUGGAUGUAUGUAGAUGUAUUUUAGUUCUAGACACAUCCAUUUUGAUGACAAGUAAUUCCGGACGGAAGGAGUACUUG